rnacentral:sRNA from 1 species
GCCGGGCGUGGUGGUGCGCGCCUGUAAUCCCAGCUGCUCAGGAGGCUGAGGUGAGAGAAUUGCUUGAACCCAGGAGGCAGAGGUUGCAGUGAGCAGAGAUCGUGCCACUGCAGUCCAGCCUGGGCAACAGAGUGAGACCCUGUCUCAA